rnacentral:rRNA from 1 species
GCUUCUUUUUCCACCGGAGCUUGCUCCACCGGAAAAAGAAGAGUGGCAAACGGGUGAGUAACACGUGGGUAACCUGCCCAUCAGAAGGGGAUAACACUUGGAAACAGGUGCUAAUACCGUAUAACAAUCGAAACCGCAUGGUUUUGAUUUGAAAGGCGCUUUCGGGUGUCGCUGAUGGAUGGACCCGCGGUGCAUUAGCUAGUUGGUGAGGUAACGGCUCACCAAGGCUACGAUGCAUAGCCGACCUGAGAGGGUGAUCGGCCACAUUGGGACUGAGACACGGCCCAAACUCCUACGGGAGGCAGCAGUAGGGAAUCUUCGGCAAUGGACGAAAGUCUGACCGAGCAACGCCGCGUGAGUGAAGAAGGUUUUCGGAUCGUAAAACUCUGUUGUUAGAGAAGAACAAGGAUGAGAGUAACUGGUCAUCCCUUGACGGUAUCUAACCAGAAAGCCACGGCUAACUACGUGCCACCAG